UACGAAGGGGGCUAGCGUUGCUCGGAAUGACUGGGCGUAAAGGGCGCGGUAGGCGGCUCAUACAGUCAGAUGUGAAAUUCCUGGGCUUAACCUGGGGGCUGCAUUUGAUACGUGUGGGCUUGAGUGGGGAAGAGGGUCGUGGAAUUCCCAGUGUAGAGGUGAAAUUCGUAGAUAUUGGGAAGAACACCGGUGGCGAAGGCGGCGACCUGGUCCUUGACUGACGCUGAGGCGCGAAAGCGUGGGAGCGAACG
rnacentral:rRNA from 1 species